GGAGAGGUAACGGCUCACCAAGGCAUCGACGGGUAGCUGGUCUGAGAGGAUGAUCAGCCACACUGGGACUGAGACACGGUCCAGACUCCUACGGGAGGCAGCAGUGGGGAAUAUUGCACAAUGGGCGCAAGCCUGAUGCAGCAACGCCGCGUGAGGGAUGACGGCCUUCGGGUUGUAAACCUCUUUUAGCAGGGAAGAAGCGAAAGUGACGGUACCUGCAGAAAAAGCACCGACUAACUACGUGCCAGCAGCCGCGGUAAUACGUAGGGUACAAGCGUUGUCCGGAAUUAUUGGGCGUAAAGAGCUCGUAGGCGGUUUGUCACGUCUGCUGUGAAAAUCCAAGGCUCAACCUUGGACUUGCAGUGGGUACGGGCAGGCUAGAGUGCGGUAGGGGAGAUGGGAAUUCCUGGUGUAGCGGUGGAAUGCGCAGAUAUCAGGAGGAACGCCAGCGGCGAAGGCGCCGCUCUGGGCCGUAACUGACGCUGAGGAGCGAAAGCAUGGGUAGCAAACAGGAUUAGAUACCCUGGUAGUCCAUGCCGUAAACGUUGGGCACUAGGUGUGGGUCUCAACCAACGAGAUCCGCGCCGUCGCUAACGCAUUAAGUGCCCC
rnacentral:rRNA from 1 species